CAGAUUAUAGUUUAAUGGUAGAACAUUGGCCUCCAGAUCCAAAUGCAUGGGUUCGAUUCCUAUUAAUCUGG
rnacentral:tRNA from 1 species